CAGUCGCCACGGGAAUACGGAGGGGGCUAGCGUUGUUCGGAAUCACUGGGCGUAAAGCGCACGUAGGCGGCUUUGCAAGUCAGAGGUGAAAGCCCGGGGCUCAACCCCGGAAUAGCCUUUGAGACUGCAUCGCUUGAACGUCGGAGAGGUGAGUGGAAUUCCGAGUGUAGAGGUGAAAUUCGUAGAUAUUCGGAAGAACACCAGUGGCGAAGGCGGCUCACUGGACGACUGUUGACGCUGAGGUGCGAAAGCGUGGGGAGCAAACAGGAUUAGAUACCCCAGUAGUCCCUGUCUCUUAUAC
rnacentral:rRNA from 1 species